AGGCAAUCUGGCCUUUGAACCAGUGGCCUCAGCAUCGUGUUCUGUCCUCAUCAUAGCUUUAAAUGCACUUCGUCCAUCAUCUCGCCCCCAUUUCAGAAACCAGUCGGUUCCAAGAACAGUUUUCCAGCCCAGCCUGAACACUGCCAGUUUGAGAACAGCAUAGCACCAGGCAUAUGCAAGGGUUUGUGGGAUUCUCCUUAAUCCACCGCAACUGCUCAACCUGGGGCCUGGACAGGAAGCCUCAAAAGUGAAGUCCGAGAACUUGGAAGGGAUGGUCAGAUCCAAACCCAUCAUUUCAAAGAUGAGAAAACGGAAGACGAGAGAGAGGAAGAAACUUCCAAUGUUCAAGUAGCCUGGUUGAGAAGGACAUGCUCCCCCCACCACUUCUGGAAAAAAGUCCAUUAUAGAGUGGUCUCAAUUGUUCAUCAAUUUUGCCUGUUUAUAUGAGACUUUUCUUCUUCUUUUCUUUUUUUGCUGGGAAAGAUUCACCCUGAGCUAACAUCUGUUGCCAAUCUUCUUCUCUUUUUUUUCUCCCCAA